CCCUACGGGGUGCACCAGGAUGGGCGUUCCCUGCUUGUCCGCUGCGACUACGAUCUUCUCGAUGUCCUGGGCGCUGCGGACGUAACCCCGGCCGCGGACCAUGUACUCGGCGCCGCUUAGUUCGACCAGCCGACCGCCCACAUCGUUGUUGCCCUCGCGGAUCGCCCGCACCACCGUGGAGAUUGGGAUGUUGUAGGCCAGCAGCUUGGCGGGAUCCAGGUUGACCUGGUACUGUUUCUGAAAUCCGCCGACAGAAGCCACCUCGUCCACGCCGGGCACCGACUGAAGCUGGUAGCGAAGGUUCCAAUCCUGAAGCGAGCGGAGUUGGGCAAGGUCGUUGUGUCCGGUCUUGUCCACCAACGCAUAUUGAUAAACCCAGCCCACGCUGGUGGCGUCGGGGCCCAUUUCCGUGCGGACGCCUUCAGGCAGGCGGGGGAGC
rnacentral:rRNA from 1 species